rnacentral:rRNA from 1 species
GUAAGGAAUAUUGGUCAAUGGAGGCAACUCUGAACCAGCCAUGCCGCGUGCAGGAUGACGGCCCUAUGGGUUGUAAACUGCUUUUAUACGGGAAGAAAACCCUCUACGUGUAGAGGACUGACGGUACCGUAAGAAUAAGGAUCGGCUAACUCCGUGCCAGCAGCCGCGGUAAUACGGAGGAUCCGAGCGUUAUCCGGAUUUAUUGGGUUUAAAGGGUGCGUAGGCGGUAUAGUAAGUCAGUGGUGAAAGCCCGCAGCUCAACUGCGGAACUGCCAUUGAUACUGCUAAACUUGAGUGUGUUUGAUGUGGGCGGAAUGUGCAGUGUAGCGGUGAAAUGCUUAGAUAUUGCACAGAACACCAAUUGCGAAGGCAGCUCACAAAACCACAACUGACGCUGAGGCACGAAAGCGUGGGGAUCAAACAGGAUUAGAUACCCGGGUAGUCC